AGCAGCCGCGGUAAUUCCAGCUCCAAUAGCGUAUAUUAAAGUUGUUGCAGUUAAAAAGCUCGUAGUUGAAUUUCGGGAUCAGUAGGUCGGUCGUGCCACUGGUAUGCACUGGCCUCACUGGUUCCUCCUUCCUGAUGAACCGUAAUGCCAUUAAUUUGGUGUUGCGGGAAAUCAGGACUGUUACUUUGAAAAAAUUAGAGUGUUUAAAGCAGGCUUACGCUUGAAUACAUUAGCAUGGAAUAAUGAAAUAGGACGUUCGAUCCUAUUUUGUUGGUUUCUAGGAUUGACGUAAUGAUUAAUAGGGAUAGUUGGGGGCAUUAGUAUUCAAUUGUCAGAGGUGAAAUUCUUGGAUUUAUUGAAGACUAACUACUGCGAAAGCAUUUGCCAAGGAUGUUUUCAUUAAUCAAGAACGAAAGUUAGGGGAUCGAAGACGAAUCAGAUACCGUCGUAGUCUUAACCAUAAACUAUGCCGACUAGGGAUCGGAUGAUGUUAAUUUUUAAUGA
rnacentral:rRNA from 1 species